GCGGCUCAAUGGUUAGAGCGUUGGACUUCUGAUCAAUGGGUCGCGGGUUCGAUCCCCGUGUGCUGCA
rfam:Schistocephalus solidus strain NST_G2 genome assembly, scaffold: SSLN_scaffold0006482